rnacentral:rRNA from 1 species
AACGUAGGUUCCGAGCGUUAUCCGGAAUUACUGGGCGUAGAGCGCAUGUAGGCGGCCAAGCAGGUCGGAUGUGAAAUCCCUCGGCUCAACCAAGGAAGUGCAUUCGAAACCGCAUGGCUGGAGUCCCGGAGAGGAUGGUGGAAUUCUCGGUGUAGAGGUGAAAUUCGUAGAUAUCGAGAGGAACACCGGCGGCGAAAGCGGCCAUCUGGACGAGGACUGACGCUGAGAUGCGAAAGCGUGGGGAGCAAACAGG